AUUUAACUCUGUUAUUCAGAACACUGCAUUAAAACAAUUUGGUAGAAGUCCAGUUUGCUUGAAGAAUAGAAUUUUCUCCAACGAAAUGGCCCCCCUUACUUAGGGCCUCAUUUUAUAGCUUGUAGCUUCUAUUGGGAAGAAAAACAAAAACAGCCCUACCAGCAGACAACAGCGAACAUCAUCCAAACGCUGUCAGGACUGUUGCAACAGCCUCACAUUAACUGCUUUGAGACCUCUGACUGGAAGUCUCACUGGACCUGAAAUGAGCUGUGCUUGAGGGUUUUUUGUUGUUGUGUUUUAUUGGUGUGUUUUGUUUUGUUUUUUUUGGAAGGGUGUUGGGGCUCAGGCACAGCGUUUUAGGCUGUUUUUUCAAACUUCUUUAGAUGAAGCAUUGACAGAACUCACAACUUCUAGAGCAUGAUGAAAGCCCUCCAUUGAUUCCAGAAAGCGGUAGGACUUCCUAUCUGAAGGCAAUGCUGGAACACAUGUUACAGAAGUCUUUGUUUUGAAAUACAUUCAGCAGUGCUCGUGGGCCUUGCAUCUCAUUGUGCAGUGUGGUACUGGAAGUAUCAAAUAUCUGGGAACGAGGAGUUCAUCAAGGGGAAGAAGAACCAUUUGAGAGUUAUCAGGGUCAUGAAGGAACACUACAGAGGGGAGCACUGAGUUUGCUGUGUAUGCAUGGGAGGUUGUACUGUGACUGGAGAACCAUUUCAGAAAUUUUAAUCCUGUAUUACAUGUGAAUUUGAGGCUGCAGGAAGCAGUUCCCUUUCAGUCCUGGGUUGUAAAAGGUAUUACUAUAGAGCAAAGGAAGCUACUGAAUAACCUGUGGUGUUAAGCACUAUUUCAUUUUUUACUACUAGAGGAAGGACCAGUAUAAAUGCAAGUUAUGUGGAAGAUUACUGUUUUUAAGAUUUGCAAACUAGUAUUCAUUUGGAAGAUUAACUAACAACUGACAGCACCUGUUCUUGAUUUCCAUGCUGCAAGCAGCAUUCAAAAAACUGGGCAGUGAGGGUUGAUGCAAUCCCCCUUCCAGCAAACUUUAAUGUAAGUCCUUGCUGAUGCAGGCACUUCCAGGAAUUCGGUCCUCUUUCUACUUGAGCUUUCUUUCAAAGCUGUAUGGUGCCCUCGAGUGGCUACAGUGCUCGUCUUUUCCCCCAUACAGCUCAUAAAUGCAGCUGUGUUAUUUCCAGGUUCCUGCUUAAGAUUAACAUAAUUAGCCAGGGAAAUUAAAACUUCAGUUAAAAACAAGUCAAACCCUAGGAAAAAAAAGCCUGAGUGUAGGAGAGGCUGAUCCAGAUCAUGCUUAGGCUGAAAACGGUACAUGUUCAAAACAGGGUUGUUUUUUUCACUUACAAUAAUAAUAAUACAUCUGCAGACAAGGUUUUUCCUGUAGUUUAAUAUUAUAUACUGAUGGAUAGCACCUAGAGGCCCCAGUCAACAUUUGACGCCCCCCCCAGUGUUGCACAGACAUGUCUCUGCCCCAAAGAGCUUACAGUCUAAGCAGUCAGGAAGUGGGAGAAAAUAAUAACGGUGCUUGCUUUUAUAGAAGAGGAACUCAGAUCUAAUACAGGUCAAGUGGUUUGCCUGCUCUAAGGUGCAGUAUCAUUUUAAUGUCUACUGUGUGUCUCAGUUAAAAGAUGCUCCUUCCUCUCUAUCCUACUUUUAACCAAGAAAAAAAGCCAAAACAAAGUUAAUGAGAACAUACCUGUCAGAAGCGUUUCUGCUUUUCUGUGGUCAUUCCACAGGUUUGGGAACUACUUUGCUGCCACAAAACAAGCUGCUCUGCGUGCUAUCUAUGUUAGACUGGAAUUAUAACUCCUGUCUUGUCACUGUUCAGUGAGUUUUGCUGUGCAUGCUGCAAAAGAGGCCCAAUCUUAGAAAAAGCACCACUGAUGCAGUACUAAGAACAAACACGUUCUGCCCUUUCCUGGAUCCCCAUAAUGAACACAACUUCUUGGUGACAGGGAGGCAAGACAAGUGGAGUUGGUACAGACCCAAGUGAGGGCUGGAUGAGCUCUUUACCCUGGGUGCUCCUUGACUGUAGCCUCUAUUCUGCUUUCUGGGGCUAGGAAUAAGCUCCUGUGUUCAUUUUAGGCUGCUGAGGGAGGAGCAGGUAGCAAGAUAUGGGCUUACAGUAAAAGAGACGUAAGUUUUUAUUUUAGCUUUGGUAACAAGUUACUGACUUGGAGGUAGCAGCAGGUUCUGUUUAUAUGCAUCAGCAAAUCAAAAUAAAAUGGGUUGAAGGAUGUACAUUGCUGAAUAGGCCACUCACUACCAACAUAUAAUUGCACUAAUGGAAAAAGGAUAAAGCUAUUUGUGUUUUUCACUUUAAACUAAAUAACCUGUUUCAUACCUGAAAACUUUUGAAAUCAGCACCAAUCUCAUUGAAUAAAGCACUGCCACCUGGGUUAACCACCAGUCCUAUGUCUUUGUCAAAUAUGCUUAAAACAAGAUCUCUGAUGUUCCACAGUUACAAGGACAACUGAAAGGAAAGGGUGAACAGCAAUUAGCAGAUAAAUUAUUAACAGUGGUCAAAAUAAACAAAUACACUUCACCUGUAUAAAGCUCUAUGUUGAUUCACAAGUUAUGUUGUAUUGAUAGAUAGUGGAGGUGACAAUAUACAAUGAAAGGGUUAAAGUAUCAUCGUUCUGAAAAACAGCCUUGCUUUGGCCAGGGAGCUCUGUGUGCACAUGAGUGUGAGUGGAGCAGCACUGACCAUAAAGGCAGAACAAUCAUGGGCAGUUAUGCAUACAGAAAGUGAUCACUUUUCAGCUAUUGCACAGUGACACACCAAGACACACACAGUAGGAUUCUCACAAAAUGACAUUAGAAAGAAGGAACUGCAUGCACCAUCUUUAAAGGCCUUAUGUGAAUGUACAUACACAGGAGUUGCUAUAUAUUGUAAAUACAUUGUGGAUGCUUAUAAAUUCACAUAAGAUCACAAAGAUUAAAUGGUAAAUAGGAUAAGCUCAGUUUCCACCAGUUUACACUUUAUUUUAGUGUUCCUUAGCAUGUACGCUAUUUAUUUUGGAUAAUAUGCGUAACUUCACUUCAGAGUAAAGAGGUUUCACGUAAGCAUACUCUUAAAUGCUUUGAUAACUGGAUAUUCCCAAGGAGCAGCUUUUUUGAACUAUACCAAAUAUUACUAAUAUGUGAAUGUGACUUCUAUUCAGAAUAGAAGGAUAUAGGCAUAUGGCUGAUCAUUUCAUAUAUCUUCACAAGAUAAAAAAUAAACCAACAAACUCUUCAAGUGGAUUGGGAUCUCUAAACACAAAUAAAACCACUGGUAGCAUGAUAUAUGGUAUCAACAUUUAAAACCCUGAUCAAAAUGACUUCAGAAUAAUUGUGCAUUUCCCCAUCUAUGACAGGUUGGCAACUAAGGAAAUGAAAUAUCAAAUGAAUGAAUUGGUGUAAGAGUUGUAAAUUCUCUCUGUACCGCAAAUUUUGUGAUAAAAUACUGCUGUAUAUUUUAAUUUCAGACAUAAGCAUUUUUAUAUCCGAGUCUGGUUUGUUUCUAAAUGACUGAAAGUUUCAGCUAAAAAGGUGUUUACACAAUAUACACAUUUCAUUACUUACAGAGAAAUAAACUUAAAAUUCCAUAUUAAAAACCUGGGAUACAGUAGGGUUAGUAGCACCAUGAAAAAUGUUUUUCAAAACUGCAGUCUUGUUACUUUAAACGUACUCAGUGCGUCGUGUUUUUCUUUACUCUCUUGACUGAUCAAAAAGGUGCCAUUUUGGUACAGGGAGAGAAAUGAAAAUUUCAUCUUCGGAUCCUUUGUGAACCACAAGGGUCUUUACCAUUUCCAGGAGGUCAAUUCUUCCAUCUCAUCUUAGUCCUGUUGUCAAAUAUGCACCAAACAACCCUUAGCUUGGCACGAGUGAGGUACACUUGAAUUUGCAUGGUUAAAACAGUUUGGAUUUGUUUUUUGCUUUCUUUCUGCACAGUAGCACCAUUGUUACAGCUGGAGGACAGUGCAUCUCAGGAAUUUUCAACUGUUUUAAAACAUCCUUCAAGACGUUACGUCUUCUUCAUGCAAACUUGGCAGCGACUAAUACGCGUCCUCAAGUCUCCAGCUUUCAGUGUCUCUGACUGAGGUUUACUGGUUGACAGACAAAACAGGAAGGCUAGGGUUAGCUUCUUUGUUGUUCACAGAACUGUAACUUAAGACUUCUGCUUAAUUCCAGAUUUGGAAGUAAAACAGAAAGAGGAAUUAAUCCUGUAUUUCAGAGUUUCUACUAUGAGCGAUUGUUUUGUAUAUCCACAGCAGGUAACAGAACUUCAGUUUUGUCCAGUCCCCACUAAGCAAAACAUAUGCUCAGCCCCUGCUUCUGCUCAGCUUACUGUUUGUGCUACAUCAUAUACAGGACUGAAUGAUAUACAUGUACAUCAUGGACAGUCUUGGGUCCACAGCGUACAUUCCCCCUGCCAUGAAGCAGGCACUUGUGAUUUUUGGUUUCUCAGUUAAAAGGUAUUACAACAAUCCAUCAGAAACAGUGUUAGAGGGAGAUCUGUACAUUUAAAUUAUGCGUUUACCAAAUAAUUUGCUUCUAUUCUGUAAGGAAAUGAAAUGAGAGGUGGUAAUACAACAUUUCUGUGUAAUGUGUGUUUGCAUGUUAAGUGCUAUCCUUGAUUUUUUUUUUAAAUAAAGUAAGUUGUGUUUAUGGGAGAUGGCAAAUGGUAGAGAGAGAAAGUUCAAAGACCCACAGUCGUUAGCAGAAGGUAGUUUUCACCAUGAAUUAUCACUAAUCAACUAUCCUGAAAACUUGGAGAUGAUUACUUCGCGUGCAAUUAAAUAUUACAGUGUAGUUGUUACACAAAACCCAAUUAGAGGCUAUUGCUGCUAUGUCACACUGCACACUGCCAGCCCUGUACAACAAGGCCAAAUUUUUCAGGUUGGUGGCAGUGGGAAUAUUCAUGAGGUUUUCACCAGUGCAAAAACAGGGCGACAGCAUUUGUUUCUGCCGGUCAAUUAGAAAGGGGGAACCCUGGAGAGCUGAAAUCCUUAAGGCAGAGAAGCUAGUGUCCUAAUCCUCCUGCAGAGUACUGGUAAAAAUGCUCACCAGGGAGGGUGUGAAACCUCCUUCACACCAGGCUUUAAAAACAGAUUAUAUGAACACCUGCUUUAGAAGGUUUAAGUACAGUUGAUCCUGCACUAGGGCUGAGAAUGAGACAAUGCAGAUUUUGUCCAGUUUCCCCUCACACCUGUUCGCCUUUUAAAAUAUUUGAGUAAUUAAGAGCAUGCAAGGAAAAAAAAAAACCAAAACAAACCUUUUAAAAGUCCAACUACAGUCAGUACAAUAGGACAACAUUCAGAGAAAGUACUACUAAACGUGAAUAAGAGUUGAUGUAAAAGGAAUCUGACUUCUUGCAAAACAGAAUGUGCCCUCACAAGUUUAUACAUCUUAUAAAAGGCUUACCCAAGCACACACUUGAAAAACUGGUUGUGAGGGGGAAAACAAACUAAACUCUUUCCUACUUCCCUGUAAAGACUUCUCUUUUGAUCUUGGGAAUAAAUUUGGCUUCCAAAUAUUUCACCCUGGAAUAAAACAAUGUAAUAAAAACAGGUUUUCUUACCUGAACAUUUCUGACACCUCUACAGUUGCCAGCCAGAAACUAUAUGAAUUGGCAUAGUAGUUACAAGUGCCACGACCAUGACACUCAAUAAAUGGAGCUGAGCGGAAUUCUUCCAAACAGGAUCCAGGUGAUGCCAAGGCCUGCCCAGAGCCCUCUGCUCCAGCACUGGUGUGCUGGGGUAGUGGGCAGGAAAGAAACACACACAAAAAACUUAGAGUAGGAAAUAGAAAUUAAUAGCACAGGAUGCAAUUGCUAAAAGCAGCACUGUUUGGCUAAUAUUGAGAUAAUGUGAUGUCAGACACCUCUGUAACUAUCCUUAGAAAGGCAGGACUUGCAGAGUGUUACCAUUCUCUCUAUGUACUGGAAAAUUGUUGUUAAUCUUGACUGCUAUGGUUAUUAACUUAAGAUAAAGGCUUUCUAAUGACUACCACUGUAGUUUUUAACAGUGUUAAAGCAGCUACUUGAGGACACAAACAGGUAAUAGUCACUUCUGGAAUAGGAGGAAGUUCUUACCAUCAUGAAAGAGUAACCGAUCCAUAGGGAGUCCCAGCCUGGAGGACACGAAGGAAUCUGAAUGGUCUGACUGUGGACAGCUAUCACCAUAGCAGGAGCUUCACACACAACGCAUCUGGACUCAGGGGAAGUAUCAGACAAAUAAAACAUACAACUUAAUGUCACUUGUUAAGGGUUAUUACACAAAGAAAGGGAGUCCUUGCUUGUGAGGGUCUAUCCUAUUAAUUUAGACUUCUCGUGUAUCUUGUGAGUGCAGUAGGACAGUGUUCUGAGUACAAACUGCCCUUUUCUGCUAACAACCACUGGGUAAAAUACAGUUCCUGAAACAAGAAGUGGAAGCUCCAAGUCCCCCAGGUGAAUGCCUUAAUCCUAGCGCUACAGGCUCCUCUGUUUUUUCCUAUUCACAGUAACCCUGCACUCAUGCUUCUCAGGUGAGAAAAGCCCUUACAGCCUUUCAGCCUCUAAGGAUUUCUGCUGCACGUAUAGAUGGGCCUUUUCAGACAAUAGAAACUUUAAAACCAGCUCUUUUCCUUGUAUUUCCCAGAGCAAAACAUGACAAGGUCAGUCUUAUUUCCAACCUACAUGUUGGACUGUAUGUAGUGAGAUGUACUGUUUCUUCAUCCAGAUACUAAAAAAAGAGACUUGAUAGCCUUCUUUGACUCACCUGCUAAUGAAUGGCUGGAUGUUCUGCCCAGUCAGCGGCUCCAUGCUCAUCGGCAUUGGCUCUGGAGUUGACAGCCAGUAGGAAUAGUCGUUCCUUGAUGCAAAAUUACAAACGUUGUUGAUGUUGCAGAACAUGAAAGGCAUGGUGCUAAAGCGUCUAAGACAGCUCCCAGCAGUACCUACAGAAUAAGAUACAUAAAAUGUGACAGCCGAGUUCUCACUUCAUUGUUUGUAGCAGUUUUUUUGAGAAGGAUAAUUGAGUAUUCAGCACGUGUUAUCAAAUUUUCACAUGAGGGAAAAACUUAACUCUCAAUUUUGGUUUACAGUCUUUCAUCUUGAAUUACUAAGUGCAGCUUCUGGAUGUAGUAGAUCUUAGCAUGCAUCCCUCAUCCUCAUCUAGGUAAACUCCAGGAUAGUCUUGUCUUCAUUAAAACUGAGCAUCUGGUAGAAGUAUGUACAACAUCUUUUCCCUUAAAGACAAAGCAUACAAAAUAUCUCACCCAAGUCCUGGCCAUGUGCUCUCUCAUUUCCUUGCACAUACAAAAGAGAGAAUCCAUCAUAUAUUCUUGAAGUUCCUUGUGGACAUAGUGGUGUAUCCCUAGUCUGGCUGUGACGAGUUAUAAGGAAUCCAUGAGCAACAGAAGCUGUUCCAGGAGGCCCAGGUGGGCCUUGUAAGCCAUCAGGACCAGGGGGUCCCUGUAUUCCUCGUGAACCUAUUCACAUGAGAGGAAACAACACAGUAUUUAUUAACACAAUUUCUUGCUCGUUUAGGAAUAACAUAUCUCUGAAAGGGAGGAUGAUGUAGUGAGUGAGGAGCUUGCUAGCUGAGGAACCUGAAAUCUGCUAACACCAUCUUCCUUAAAUUACCUUAAACUAUUUUUUUCUUCUAAGCUUGGUCAAAUCAUGAACAAAUUAAAAUAGUGCAAUUUCCCUGCAUCAUAGGAGUAUUCUGAAUUUAAAUAUGUUUGGAGCUGUGAAGCAAUAGCUUAGCAAAUGCAGUGGCUAUCACAGCUAUUUUAAGUACAAAUCAGCUUCCUAAUCCCAAAACAUACUUAUCUGCCUAUGCAGUUUGGUAAGAUAAAGCUGAAACAUCUUGUUCAAGAUCACAAAAUAAAUGACAGAGCCAGGAACAGAAGAACAUCUCUCACUCUAGGGCAUGUUCUAACAACUUCAGCUAAAACCCAAAAUGAAUAGAGAAACCAGUCAGUUUUGGAGUAGAUGACAAAGUGCAAAUAGGCUGAAACAUCUUUGCAUGAGAGCGAGGAAAGUGACAUUACUCUGAGAGAAGUAGCAGAAAAGGCAUUUGUUAUCGAACAGCAAAAUAUCAGAAAGUAUAACUACAAAUAUUUAGACUACUGUUUACAUUUUUUUUUUCACUUAAAAUAACGCCAACAGAUUUCACAAGGCUACUUAAAUGAAAAACAAAAAUGGCACUGUGGAUUUUUGUACUGUUUUUAAACUGAAUUCUAGUAGUUUUUACUCACAAGGCUGCAACAUAAAGCUAAUGUUUGUCUUCUGCUUUAGAUUAAACUGUUCAGUGCGUAGUCUGUUUUCUCAGAUCAGUAAUUCUAAGCAAUAACUUCACGGUAGCUUGACCUCUGCAUAUUAUUUCCUUUAUGAAGUCUGCUUUUCCUCAUUUGUGAUUCUUCAUGUAAAGAGAAAAUCAUUUCACUAAUCUCUCAAUUCUGUUUCUUACUUUCUUUCCUUCUUGUUGUGCCUCAUCAUUGCUCCAAAGGGGAUGCCAUUCAUCUCGAGAUAAAAUGUUCUACAGUAUUAUUCAGCAAUGACUAAUAAUUGUGCUGAUCCCUAGAAUAUUCCAAACUAAAGCAUGUUCAGCAGCCCUAAGAAAAUCCUAAAAUUAUGAUUUUAUUAUUCUCGCAAGGCAAAUGUCUCUUCCCACUGUUAGCUGGAACUCAGUAGGGAGAAUCUCCUUUUCCAGUGGGUGCUCAUGGGAUGAACACUGUACCUGGUUGGCCUGGAAGACCCCUCUCUCCUUUACGUCCUGCUGGGCCAUCGAAACCAGGGAGUCCAUCUCGCCCUGGAUCACCAGGAACACCAACUGGACCUAGAACAGACAAGCAGGUAAUUGAACUGAAAGCUCUUGAAACCUCACUACAGAAAGGUAUACACUCUCUGGGGUCAUCUGAUGUUUCUCCACAAUACAUUAGGCAAGAACAGGUCACUAAACCAGAUGGUAUACAUCUGGGUACAAUCCCACGUUUUUCUUUAUUUCUUGCUGAAUUCAGUCCCACAUUGCAACAUGCAGUCAGCUAUACUUAGUCAUUUUCCAUGCAACAAUCUAGAAUCAUACCUGGCAAUCCUUGUGGCCCUGCCAGUCCAGGUGGCCCUUUUGACCCAGGCAAUCCUGGAGGCCCUGGAGGACCAGGGUCACCUUUGACAACAAUGCUUCGUCCGAUGGUACCUGGUAAACCUGGUGGACCUGAGAGAAAACAGCUCAGUAUUAGAUAAACCAGGAUGGAAGAGAGCACUGAAGACAGUUUUGGCAGUGCACUAUUUCUGUUACUUAUUGCGAAGUCAGCAACCGAAAGCUUUUAUAACUACAAAGAAUAAGAGUAGGUGUAUAUAAAGGGCAAAACAAGUGCUCUUGGUGACAUCUUGAAGGACAGCUCUUGCAGAAGUUAAUCCAAGUAGACUGGUUAUAGAGUACAAAAUACAGCAGGAGUACAGAUGCUCUCUUAACCAUUUCCAUUUCUGGCUGACAUCCACACAGUUCUACAGCUGCAUAACACAUUCUACCACCAGGGAUCAAAGUGACAGUAGUGCUACCCAAGACUCCUACCUGGUGGGCCUGGCAGCCCUUGACUGCCCAUGAGGCCAGCAGGUCCUGCAGGUCCAGUGGGACCCUUCAUACCUGAAAGAUCAAAUUAACAUGGUCACACAAUGAAAGAACACGUUUUGUAAGAUCUGCUGCAGUGGCCCAAAUCAGGCUUCUUUCCUCCCUGAGGAGCUGCUACUGUGUCUGGAUGUUUUCACUUGAAAUGCUUGUUAAAUACCUGGGAAUCCCGGAACGCCUGGAACCCCAGGGUCACCCUUCAUUCCAUUGAGACCAGGACGACCAGGAUCUCCCUGAAGACAACAGAUUCAUGUUAGUCACUCAUCUCCCCAGUGGUUUCAGAAAAGAAGAUAAAAACGGGCUAGACGACAAAUUAGUACAUUUGGAAUCUGUGAAGUAGUGCUUGAGAAGGCUGAGGCUUUGUGUUCUGCUUGCUCACUCCCUGGUACAGCAGGUGCUGUCAGAGAACAUUGGAAUGUGAACCCUUCAUUGGCAAUUCCAGCUCCCAUGGCAAUGUAAUGGGGAAAACCUGCCUGGGUACUGGGGGAUAAAGAAAAGACCCUCAAUCUUGCUAUGAGACAUUAUAAUAACCACUGUAUUUUGGUUUUUAUUUUACUACAAUAAAAGGCAUAUUUAACUUAAACAAGUUCAGUCUUUAUUGCAUUUAAAAAUAAAUCCAAUUCUUGUCCUACCUGGCGUCCAGGUGGUCCUUGGUCUCCCUUUUGACCAGUCAGGCCAGGUGGGCCAGGCUGUCCUGGAU